GGUGGCUCAGUGGUAGAACGCUUGCCUUGCAUGCAUGAGGUCCUGGGUUCGAUUCCUCAGCACCA
rfam:Dipodomys ordii contig_2157, whole genome shotgun sequence.